rnacentral:lncRNA from 1 species
GCAUGAUGAGGAGACAGGGAUAGCCCAUGAGUGGCUCAGGGAUUGAGCAGCCUUUUGGAUAAACUGUAAUAUUGCUGAUGCUACUGCAAUGGAAAGAGAAUGACUCAUGUAUUCAAGGAGAUUCUUUGCCAAUGAUUCCUAUUUUCCUCCAGGGACAGAGUAGAGGCAGAGGAUUCACAAAGCCAUGUUUCUUCUGGAACUCCCAAAGUGUUGCUUAAACUGUACCUCAAGCAGAAGUGUGGAACACAAUCCUAAGCGAGUGUGAUCACGGCCCCACAGAACCCCAGGCACCUUUGAGCAUGGCAUGAUGAUGCCCGUCGUCUUAAACUCUAGAAUACAGCUCUGGGACAGGACAGGCACCUGCUUCACUCUUGAAUGUGUGCCAGGGACCUGAGACUCCAAGGUCAAAGGUGAAAGAUGAAGACCAGACUUCAUCUGGACCAUAGUUAAAGUCACAACAAGGGACCACACAACUUCUCCCUCCUCUAAAUGAGGACACACCUUCAAGUUAGCCUCCAAACACCAAAACUGGAGUGACAAUCGGAAGAAAGGACUUGUGAGAGGUUGAGACAGGGAGAUGCAAAGACAGAAUACUGUCUUGUAGUUCAAGCUUGCUAACAGGUGUCAUUUGUGACAAGAGUAAGAUGGGUGAAUUUCAUGGCAUUCCAGCCUCAUAUACCCCAUGAUAAGUAAAUUAGCAGAUGAAAAUGGUUGUUGGAUAGAUGGAAGGAUGGAUGGAGCUUGGAGAGCCAAGGAUAAGAGAGUAGAAGACAAAAAAAAAAUGUUCCUUCUGUGCUUUGUUUACUGCACUGAGAGGCCCUGGAGCUAAUUAGAGAUGUUAGCUUGUCAAAAGAACAGAAAGCCCUGCCUUGGGGACUGUGCUCUGCGUCUGAAGAGGAGGUCAACAUGGAGACUCCUUAAGACUCAGAGAAUAAAAGAAACCGGUUGGAGAAGGAGAUCAAGAGCCUAGCGGAACAGGGCUGCUGCAGUGUUUCCAAGGAAAAUAGGCAUGAACCAUCUGAUGCAGCCAGGCUGGAAAGAGGAGAAACAAUGACAGAUGCACUAUGUGUUGCAAGAUGCUGAACUUGAGGACCUGCAGGCUGGCGAGCCUGAAAGGAUCUGAGCCCAGUCAUGCCUGCAGGAUCACCCGUGAAAAGAUACCGCAGAGAGUUUGUUGUCUCUCAAAGGGAUACUUUGUGUGUCUUAGAAGCUAUGAUGUAAGCAUCCGGGGAAAGGAAGAACUGCUUCAGGAUAAGAGCCAAUGGGGCUCGCAGAAAAGCUCGGUUGGUGAAGCUCUUCAUAAGAAGCACAAAGUCCCACCCGCCGGAACUCAGCUGGCAAUGGCGGCACAGGCUUAUAAUCCAAGGGCUGAGCAGGCAGAGCCAGAGCACCUCCGUGGCUUGCUGGCUGGCUGGCCAGUCAAGUUCCACCACUGAGAAGCCUUGGCCCACAUCAAGGCCAUGCCAUCCCUUCCCAACAGGUUUACAGCCUCUGAAUGCAGCAUAAAUCCUCCCU